GCCCGUAUGGCGUAGUGGUAGCGCGUCUCACUUGUAAUGAGAAGGUCAGUCGUUCAAUCCGGCUUGUGGGCA